rnacentral:rRNA from 1 species
CACGUAGGGACCAAGCGUUGUCCGGAUUUAUUGGGCGUAAAGCGCUCGUAGGCGGUUCGGUAAGUCGGGUGUGAAACCCCUGGGCUCAACCCGGGGACGCCACCCGAUACUGCUGUGACUCGAGUUCGGUAGGGGAGCGGGGAAUUCCUGGUGUAGCGGUGAAAUGCGUAGAUAUCUGGAGGAACACCGGUGGCGAAGGCGGCAUCCUGGACCGACACUGACGCUGAGGAGCGAAAGCCAGGGGAGCGAACGGG